CUGGUGUGGUGCUGCUGUGAUUCAAAGGCAGUCACUUGCAGAGAGCAAGUGGUCCUUCUCGUUCAGGAAGUCUAGGUUUCUACUUGAAGAAAAGAUGCUGGGAAAAUGAGGGAGGUUGGUGGUAACACAACAAUUAAAGUUUGGAGUAUUUGACCAAAUGUUGACAGACCUACGAAAUGCCGCUAUUUCCAUUCCGCCGUGGAGACCAGAACUCUAAGAACAAAGCAUAUUGUCAUCCUCCCCUUCAGAUCAGAGAUGGGAAAAAGGAAAUCCUUCAGUGUUUUGUGCUGUUUAAUGACUAAAGCCUCCCAGUUGCCCAACAGGAAUGAACCUUCAGAAAGAGUUUUCUUAAAAGUAAAAGAGAGAAGGCCUUUUCCAGAAAUGGAAUGGCUCUUUGCCCAUCAGAGUCUGCUAGGAGGCUAUUUCGUGAACUGACCUGGCUAUCUACGGUGCGUUGACACCACUCACAAAAGUACCACUCGGUGUUUGAACGUCAGCACAUUGGUUUGCUUGGUGAGCUGAUUACCGCAGGAGCUGAGAAGUCUUAUCAAAUCUGUGGGUUCUUAUCAAAGUGUGCGCCAGCUACCAUGAAAACCACUUUCUUUCUCCUCCAACAAUGACGCCACCACAGAAAUCAUUUCUGAAGACAUCUCUUUCAGCUCUCUACACAUAUGAAGCUGCAGAACUAAGGGAUACCUGGCAAAGGCACGUGGCUGCCAUGUCAUCAUUGGGUGAAAAAUACAAAACCAAAGGAAAAAACCCUUUCAAAUGCAUGUUCCUCCAAGGACGAGUCUGUAGCUCAUUUCUCUAAGUCACGCUGUGCUUCAGACCAUCAGUCAUAAUCAGUCAUAGCUCUAGUGAAGCACGUCAGGUUCAGACCUGAAGGACAUGGUUUAUAGAUUCAGCAUUCUUCAUAUUUGGGGUCUAAGGAUUUGCUGGAGUUCAAAAGCUAUCAUUAAGGGCUUCCCUGGUGGCGCAGUGGUUGAGAAUCUGCCUGCCAAUGCUGGGGACA